UUGAGUAUUCGACGUCAAGAAUUUCGAAGGCAGUAUUGGAGCUGUUAUCGGAGUCAGUUUGUAUUAAAAAUUCUUUGAGUAACAGAAGAAAUUGUGCCUACGGAAGUCAAGUGGAUUCUACACCGAAGCCUCAUGCUUUAAUAACUUACUUUCGACGCCCGCUCGUGCUACAAAGGGUGGAUCCCUCGAAGAAGCAAGAAUAAAACGAAGAAGCGACAGUGGCUGUAAAAUUCGGCCGAGCUUUAAUCAGUAACUAUACCAGAUUGAGACGAGAAAGCUCGAAGGAUAUCGGCUCGCUCUCCCACGCUUAUCGAAUGUUAAUGACCCCCGCGUAAUGAAGGUAACCGGAGCGUAGAGUGUGCACUACCGUAGGCCAACGACAUUCGAAGCUGCAGCUGCAUAUCCCGAGAGUGAGAGAGAUAAGCCGCCACUAGACGAUGCUCUGCCACCGCCUCUCGCUUAUUAUUUAUUUAUUAUGCGUAUGGAUAUGUAAAAUAGCGCAGGCAGCAGAGCCUUCGUGUCUCUCCUCUUCUUCUGGUGCUGGAGGAGCUCCCUCGCCUACUCCUCGAACCUGUUUGACAGCCACGAGACACAUUCCUUAUAGAUCCUAUACCGAGUUAUACCGAGAUCGUUAUGAAGUGACAAGCUGGCAUCGGAGGCUGCCGCUGCGACGAGCCGUGUGGCGAUUGGGUCCUAGCUUGUUCAGGCUAUUUUGUUCCACUUACUUGCCAAGAAGCCGCGCCAGAACUUACCUCCUGCUUCUGUUGUAUUGGCCCAUUGAUUUCGAUCUCCCUGGAAUAAAGAAUUACGAACCAUUCGCCGUUUGGCUGCACAGCUCCGGAUAGGUGUUACUACGACGAGUACGCAGAAAUGACAACGGUUUCGAAAUUACGUAAAUUCGCAGAUUUAAAGGAAAAAUGAAGUACAUCGAGCGAUCUCAAGUACUUGCUCUUGUGGCAGCAAUAACUUGAGGUAACAUCACGAAGACGGUACCACCAACGCGCUCGGCCACGCCGGGGUAAAUGACAUCUAAAAUUGGCGCUAGGCGCGCGCAACAAGUUGAUUCGCCGCGCGUAGAGUAUAAUAGUACCCAACGGCAGUCGUCGGCGGCGCACUUUUCGCAGCCGUCGUCGCCGACGUCGACGUAACGCGCCGCGCACCGGCACUGUGCGUGUGUGCAUAGAGUCGUGCGUCGUGCCAAGUCCGUCCUUGUCGUCGGUCAGUCUUUUACUCCCACCUUUAGCGAAAAGGGGAAUUAUAUACGCGAGAAACUAUUAUACACUUUAACGCGAUACACGAUCUCACGAUCACGCGGAAUCUCUCUCGAUCGAAUUAAGCACAAAUUUAUGAGAGAGAAUACGAAGAGUAUAGUGACCACCACCAAGUGCAUCGUUGUCGCGAUCUCCGAGUAAUUUAUUAUAGUUAAUUUUUUUUUUUUGGUGCAUGUGCUACGGCUGCGCACGCGUGCGUUUUUCUGGCUGACAAUUAGAGAACCAACUGAAACGGUAGGAAAAUACAUAUCAGUGCAUAUAUUUUUAAAAAAUAAUCGCCAUUCCACGUAGGCGUGCACGAAUAAUUUUGUCCAAGAGUGCACUUUGCAAGCGUACCUGGCAUAUGCCAGGCGUGAACUGUACAUAAUCGAAGCUUUUUAAUGUCUUUACUGCAUUUAUUAGCUAUAAAAAUUGAUUAUUGCCAAGUACAAUAACCGUGCGAGUAGCUUUCCAAAUCUUGA